rnacentral:lncRNA from 1 species
CACAAUCAUAUUUAUUUGCUUGAAAUAUAAUACUAAAACUAUAAAACUCAACUAGCUAAUACGUAAGUCAAAAGAAGAAAUUCAAGCGGCAGCCACCAAGCAACACCGCUAAUGUUUUUUUAAAUUAAAAACACAUAAUUUAUGUCAAAAUAUAAAGACAUAAAAUCAAACUUCAUGUAUAAAAUCUUUCCUUGAAGCUCGUCUCUAUGUAGUGAUGGAAUGGCAAUGACCUCCGGCAAUUUCUUUAAUUUGCUCAACUCAAGUUGAUAUCAUGAAUAGUGAGCUUCAAUUCUCUCUCUCUCUCUCUCUCGCUAAUAAUCUGUGAAAAAUCACGUAUGUAGUGCUUUCACGGUAAGAAAUAACCAAUAUUUAGUCGACAGAUUGAAAUGAUAUAAUGAUGGCAAUGAAUAAAUAUAUAGUCUUAGCUUGUAUUCAACUCUCAGCAUGUUUAGCUUUCUUUUCAGUAUUGUUAAACCAUUAAACCUCAUAUAUGCAUUUAGCCGAUUUCGAGGGGAAGAAAUCCCAAGAGCACGAACUUACAAUGCAUCUAAUCUAUACAUGCUUUGCUUCCAAGGGAGAGCUUCAUGACAUUUCCCUAGCUUUCAGUACUUGUCUUGUGUGUAUAUAUAUAUAAGUUGAUGCUCUUAAUCAAAUUCACAUAGAAUCAUCAUUAAUUUCUUCAACAUGUNUGCCAUACUUUUGGCGGACGGAGGGAGUACUAAACUAUAAAACUCAACUAGCUAAUACGUAAGUCAAAAGAAGAAAUUCAAGCGGCAGCCACCAAGCAACACCGCUAAUGUUUUUUUAAAUUUAAAAACACAUCUAUACUGCAUAUUAAUGCACAGUUUUGAGCUGAUUUAUUUUCCCGCCAAAAGCAGCAUCUUAUAAUCAAGUGGAUAUCUCCAAAAAUUUCUAUCUGCUGGGUAAUAGCUCCAAAGGCUUCAGUCAUGGCUUUUAUCCAUUGUGGUGCUACUGGUCAAUAUCCAUUGAAAUACAACAUUAUCUAUGAAACAAAUGCAGAUACAUACUUUGGCUCCAAGAAAUUGAGUAGCAUAAAUACUGGUCCAUCUGAUUUCAUUUUAUGUGAACUUUCAACUUUAAAGUACUCUAAGAAAUUGAUUAGUAUAAAUACCAGUCUAUCUCAUUAGGGAGUGAGGGCAGGGCGUUACUGUACGCCGGAGAAGAAGGCGGCGGCUGCGGUUGGUCGGAGCAGGGAAGGAAAGAGAAGGCGGCGAUUCUUCGCCGCAACCGUCCGGCUGAGUGAGGGCAGAGGCGGCGGUGCUUGCCAGGAAGGAAAGAGGGAGAUUGAGAAGGGAGAAGCAAAUUAGGGAUUGAGGGAGGAGGGUUUCUAAAAUUUGAGGGGGGGAUUCAGGGUUUCUUCUUCAGUGAAGUGGUGGAAGGCGGGGAGAUGGUGAUUGCGGCGGUGGUGUGGAGACGGAGGCGGCGCUGCAUGUGCAGCCUCGCCGUGCGCGGUGAAGGAUAGAAGGGGGGAGGACAAGGAGCGAGAUGCGAGAGGGGGGAGAUGCCGGUGGUGGCAGUGGCUGAGGGCGGCGACCUUCGCCGGAGCAGAAGGCGGUGGGAGACGUGGGUGCACUGUGUGACUGAGAGAUUGAGAGAGAGAGGAGACCGAUGGACAAACACAGUGUACUACAUAUGUACAACCAUAAAAAUGGUUUUUCUUUUCAGCCAAAAUUUAAAAGUUAGUAGUACUAUUGGUUGCACGUAUAUCAAUGCAACACUUUCAAUUGAUUUAUCUUCUAUCGUGGCUGAUUUUAAGCUUUUCAAUUUUCAAAUGUAUUAAUUACUAUUCAAUAUGAUGAGUG